rnacentral:misc_RNA from 1 species
UCAAACUUGGUCAUUUAGAGGAAGUAAAAGUCGUAACAAGGUUUCCGUAGGUGAACCUGCGGAAGGAUCAACAUUGAAAUUUUAUCAAGUCAUUAGAAGGAAGGGGAGAGAUUUCUUUUCUUCUUCUGGCUUGCAAACAACUUUGAUACCCAAAAAGAGUUUCAUCUUCUUCGUCUUUCAGCUUUUAUUGGCUUGAGCAUUAUUUGCUUAGGUUGAUUGGUUGAGGGGAGGGAAGAGAAAAAGGAGAAGGGGUGAUUGGGGGGAAACCUCAGUUCCCUGAAUCCAAUAACAACAUAUAUGGUUGCCUGAUAAGAAAAGAGUUUGGUUUCUGGAAAUGGAAAAUGAAACAACUUUCAACAACGGAUCUCUUGGCUCUCACAUCGAUGAAGAACGCAGC